rnacentral:lncRNA from 10 species
CGCUAAGUAUCUGAGUGUGUCACAGAGCUAGUAAAAGGCAGAGCUGGGAUCAGAUACAUUGAUUCAUUCACUCAAAAACCUUUUUUUAUCGAGUGCAUACUAUGUAUCAGCCUCUGGGUACUGAGCAUGGGAGCAGAAUCAGACACCCCGAACUGACAGGGCUCACAGACGAGAAGGGGAGACAGUUCUCAAUCAUAGAAAUCACUUGUUCUCACAAACGGUGACACGUGCUAUGAAGAAAAAGGCCUGAGAACUAGGAGGGCAUCUAGAGGCGCCCUUUCUGGUCUAGGCGUCCUACAGGCAGCUGGAGGAAGACGUCUGAGCUGACAUCAGAUUCAUGGGGUGGACUCCUAGGAGCGGGAUGGCUGGGUGAAGGAUAUGAACUCUGUUAAGGGUUUUGAUGCAUAUUGCCAAACCACUUUCCAAAAAGCCCGUGAUGAUUCCUCCCCGAUCGGCAGCUCACAGGUGCACCUUUCCCCACGCAGGAGGACUUCUCACCUAACUUUACUCAGGCGUUAACAUCUGAGCUUUUUCUGACUCAAUUCCUGUUAAAUGUCUAUAACUGCGGGGGAGUCUUCCAGUUCUACAGAUGCAUGGAAUCUGCGUUGUGUGGUGAGGAGAGGCAGCUGAUGGACCCACCCUGCCUGGAAGAACAGCACCGUGGGGAAGCGCAAAGGGCUGGGCGCCAGUGACCCCUCCACAGACUAUUUUGGAAGAAAUAUGGGUCCAAAUGAACUGCCCUGUGACAACUGAAGUGCCAGCUUCUAGGACAGCCUCAAAAGGGAAAUCGAGUUGUCACCACUCUUCUCCCUUUCACCAGCAAAGUUCUCAGAAGGGGGCACCGUUUCUUCCUCGAGCUCCUGGUCUGUGUUUUGAACUCAGCGUCAAGGUUGGCCCCAGUGCACCUGACACAGGCACCCCCUCAUUGUCCCCCGACCUCACGGCAGUGCAUUUACCGACCUCCAGGCCCUGGCAGUGCCUUCUUUGUCUCUUCCUCUUUUGCUUCUCCUUCAGUGUGGGCACUCCCAGAAGUUCUGUCCUUUGUUCUUUCCCCUUUAGGCAUCGUCCUUCAGAGAUCCUGUCCACCUCUGGGUCCGCGUCUCUUUGUGAUCAACUCCAGCCUCUUCCCUCCUUCCCAUGAGCUCUGCAUUGCACCUGGGUCCACCUGGACCCCAGCCACGGUCACCGUGGCUGAACUCGAUUCUUUGUCCUCUGUACCCUGUGGAACUUAGUCUGUGUCCCUCCCGCCACGUCGCCUGAUGCUGUAUGUGGGAGCCGUCUUCCUGGUGGACAGUGAGCUCCCUGGGCAGGCACUGAGUGUCCCUAUGGUAUCCCUUGUAGGGUACACCUUGAGGAUACACCUCACCCACUGUAGGUAUCCAAGUAACAUUUGAUCCAGUGAAUAAGUAUGAAUGAAUGAAGGAUAUUGUUAAGUAUGAAUGAACGAAGGAUAUUGUUUUCCCCGUUUCUGGAGAAAAAAAUCCACAAAAGCCUGUUUGUCUUGGUGUUGCUUUUUUUGUACCCUUUAACCCAUUCCACAGAUUAGCAACAACAUGUAUUUCAUUGGUGGUUCUUAAUAAACAUUAAAUUAGGCCAGGUGCAGUGGCUCACACCUGUAUUCCCAGCACUUUGGGAGGCAGAGGAGGGAGGAUCACUUGAGCCCAG